GAGGUCAGCAGUGUCUGAGGCCUCGGUGGUGAAGCUUACUGGGAGUCUGCCAUUCUAGACUCUUCACUUGAAGGCAGCCUGCUUUGGCAUCGUGAGACUGUGAUGAAUGUCUUCUGUAUAACCGUGAUGAUGUUGAUGACAAGGGCGGUGAUGGUGACGAGCUCCCAUUUCUUGAGAACUUACUCUGUGCUGACAGUUUUACAUGUAGGAACCCAGAUAAUUCUUACAUGCUCCUAUGAGGUUGCUACUAUUAUAUACAUAGUUACAUAAAUUAUACACACAUACACACACAUAUAUAUAUACACACAUUAUAUAUAUUUAUAAGGAAAUUGAGGUAGUGGAGAUACUCAGUUACUUGCCCAAAGUCACACAGCUAGAAUGGAGGAACGCAUGAUACUAUAUGCAUAGUGUCCACAUGUGGAAAGCUCCAGUGACCAAGGUCGUCUUCACCAUCAUGUGCACUCCUCCAGCCUGGCAGCCUUGAGCACCUGGGCAAUGAGAUGCAUUCUCAUGGGGACACCAGGAUGCAUGAACCGUGCAGCCUUCCUGUGGGCCCUGGACAGCAGCACAUCCUCUCUGGCUGGAGCCCAGGCUCACAGUCUCCCUACCUGGGAGAAAAAGGACUUUGACCAACAUUUGGAUUUUGUCCCGAGGCUGGCUGGAUGAAAGAGAAAAAAGGCAAUUGGUUGGUGGAAAGCCAAGCAGAUGAGCACCAGUUAGUUGGAGAGCCAGGUGAGAAGCCAAGUCCGCCGGGCCUAGGGAAGCUGGGCCCUCUUUAGCGCAUGAUGCCAUUUGUCUGUGCAAUUCACACCCUUUCCUGCCUCUAAGCCACGUAUGUUCGUCUCCCUCACUGAAGACCUCUCAAGGGAAGGAGAGCCAACAGCCAUUCAUCGAGCAUUUAUUUGAAUGGCAGCUGUCUUGUGACCCCGAUGGGAGAGACCUGGAGAAGUUACCCUCAUCUUGAACAUUCUGAAUGUGGCAGAGCAUCAGAAACAAAACAAAGAACAGCCUCAUCCUGUGAGGACGUGAAGUCAACAGAGCCACCUGUCUUUGGAUUUUCCAUGCUGUGAGAUUGUAAAAUUCCUGGUUGUUUGAGCGAGUUGAGUUGUACUGCCCGUGAUUGUAUUUUGUCUUGUUGGUUUUGUCGUUUGCAAUGGACGCCCCACCCUGGAACAAAGUGGGUGUGAACUGAGGGAGGGCGAAUCUCUGCUGCACCCUUCUCUAAAGGCUGGCAAGCAGCUCCACUUCCACAUACCAGAGUUCAAGAGGUCCAGCUGCUCAAAUUAGAGCUUGAGAAUCAUCGCAGGGGAUCGCCUGGAUUCCACUGGGGGGCAAAAAGACAACAAGAUCUGUGAAUUCUGAAGGUGCAUGUCUUUGCUUUCUUGAAAGGGGGAUAACAAGUAUGUUUUCUCUUGGGAAGACUCUAGAACUGCCUGUACUCCCAGACCACAGAGAACAUUCCCAGAAGAAAGCCUGUAGGAUUUUCUUUGUGGUUUGACUCCUCCUUCCAAACCCGCCCUUAGUUUCACCUUCUCCCCUGUCCUAGCCCAAAACCUGGAGCAUGCAGCCCAGGCAAAUCUCCUAGGAUGUAUGCAGGCUGAAUCUCUCAUCUGGUGCUUUGUUGCAAGUCCCACAGGACCCUGUCUUAAAAUCUUGGUGCUGCCAUGUUGUGGGUGAGACUGGGCAGCCACGGGAAAGUGAAGCCCAGGUUGCUUCCCCAGAGAGAACUGUGGUCCAACAGGAAUGUUUUGGACAUCCUCCUCCAGUGGAGGGGACUUUCCUGGGGAUCAUGCAUUACUCUGAGAGUGAAAAAGAACUGGAAUAGAACUCAGAGGUCAUUAAGUCCAGCUCUCUCAUACUCAGAUGAGAAAGUCAAGGACAAAAGAGGGAGGCAUGUUCCCAAGAUCCAGGGCUACCCCACUAACACUUGCCAGACUAAGCUGUUACUAUUCCCCAUGUCCCCAUCCCCAUUUCCUGUGUCUUCGUCUCUUCUCAUGCUCUUUCCUCACCUGUGAAAUGGGCGUUUGGACUUCGUAAACUUGUGAUGAAGAUUAACUGAGAGCCACUCCUAGUUCAAACUCCUGUGCAGGGUCUGGUACUCACAAUAAAUGCUCGAUGAAUGGC